UGACCUCGGAUCAGGUAGGGAUACCCGCUGAACUUAAGCUAUAUCAA
rnacentral:rRNA from 1 species